AGCGAACGCUGGCGGCAGGCCUAACACAUGCAAGUCGAACGAACUCUUCGGAGUUAGUGGCGGACGGGUGAGUAACACGUGGGAACGUGCCUUUAGGUUCGGAAUAACUCAGGGAAACUUGUGCUAAUACCGAAUGUGCCCUUCGGGGGAAAGAUUUAUCGCCUUUAGAGCGGCCCGCGUCUGAUUAGCUAGUUGGUGAGGUAAAGGCUCACCAAGGCGACGAUCAGUAGCUGGUCUGAGAGGAUGAUCAGCCACAUUGGGACUGAGACACGGCCCAAACUCCUACGGGAGGCGGCAGUGGGGAAUCUUGCGCAAUGGGCGAAAGCCUGACGCAGCCAUGCCGCGUGAAUGAUGAAGGUCUUAGGAUUGUAAAAUUCUUUCACCGGGGACGAUAAUGACGGUACCCGGAGAAGAAGCCCCGGCUAACUUCGU
rnacentral:rRNA from 1 species